UGGGGAAUUUUGGACAAUGGGGGCAACCCUGAUCCAGCCAUCCCGCGUGUGCGAUGAAGGCCUUCGGGUUGUAAAGCACUUUUGGCAGGGAAGAAACAGCCUGGGAUAAUACCCCGGGCGACUGACGGUACCUGCAGAAUAAGCACCGGCUAACUACGUGCCGGCAGCCGCGGUAAUACGUAGGGUGCAAGCGUUAAUCGGAAUUACUGGGCGUAAAGCGUGCGCAGGCGGUUCGGAAAGAAAGGUGUGAAAUCCCAGGGCUUAACCUUGGAACUGCACUUUUAACUACCGAGCUAGAGUACGUCAGAGGGGGGUAGAAUUCCACGUGUAGCAGUGAAAUGCGUAGAGAUGUGGAGGAAUACCGAUGGCGAAGGCAGCCCCCUGGGAUGAUACUGACGCUCAUGCACGAAAGCGUGGGGAGCAAACAGGAUUAGAUACCCUGGUAGUCCACGCCCUAAACGAUGUCAACUAGCUGUUGGGGUUUAUUAACCUUAGUAGCGCAGCUAACGCGUGAAGUUGACCGCCUGGGGAGUACGGUCGCAAGA
rnacentral:rRNA from 1 species